rnacentral:rRNA from 1 species
GCUGACCGAACAACAAACCACAAACAUAUCCUACUAAAUAAACAAAUCAUUUGACCCACCCAGUAGAUGCGAUCGAACAGUCACAAGUCAUAACAAAGUACCGCAAGGGAACCACCAUCAAGCAACAAACAGCAAAGACGAAACCUUGUACCUUUUGCAUCAUGGUUUAGCAAGAUUAUAGGACAAGAAGAAUCACAGCCCACCCCCCCGAAACGGAACGAGCUAUUUU